rnacentral:tRNA from 1 species
GGGGAUAUAGUUCAAUGGUAGAACAACUGGCGCCGACCCAGUAGUCGAAGGUUCGAUUCCUUCUAUCUCCA